GUCGGUAAAACUCGUGCCAGCCACCGCGGUUAUACGAGAGGCUCAAGUUGACAGACAACGGCGUAAAGCGUGGUUAAGGAAAACAUACAACUAAAGCGGAACCUCCUCCUAGCUGUUAUACGCUUCCGAGGAAGUGAACUCCAACUACGAAAGUGGCUUUACCUAACCUGAACCCACGAAAGCUAAGAAACAAACUGGGAUUAGAUACCCCACUAUG
rnacentral:rRNA from 1 species